UACGGGGGGGGCAAGCGUUUGUUCGGAAUUACUGGGCGUAAAGGGCUCGUAGGCGGCCAACUAAGUCAGACGUGAAAUCCCUCGGCUUAACCGGGGAACUGCAUCUGAUACUGGAUGGCUUGAGUCCGGAAGAGGGAUGCAGAAUUCCAGGUGUAGCGGUGAAAUGCGUAGAUAUCUGGAGGAAUACCGGUGGCGAAGGCGGCAUCCUGGACCGGCAUUGACGCCGAGGAGGCGAAG
rnacentral:rRNA from 1 species